GUACAUUCCGGUUCUGAGCGCGCCGCCCGCACUCACCUGACGUGCGCUCGCUACGUUGCGUUAGCC
rnacentral:sRNA from 1 species